CAGAAAAGGAAGAAGCAGGAGACCGGGCUGAGUGAUCUAACAAGGAGCCAGCAAUCAUUAAAGAUCUACACAUUGCUAUACAAUGGGUUGUCAAGAAUGAGGCACUGUUCUAUGGGUGCAUAACCAUGCCAAGUUUUGUGUCAAUGAAUGAAGAGGACCACCAGAAGGCCAUAGAUAACGUGAUGCAAAAAGAAGAACCAGAAGCAAGGGAGCCAUUCCUCUUUGUAUUUCAGCACAGAGAAGAUAUGGAGUUGUUUUUGCAGGCAUGUCUUAACCAACAGGGCCUCCAAGUUAAUGCCAUGUUCAACAAAUGACUGAUAGACAAGGGGUGGUGGUGUGUUUCUGUUUAAAUUAUUGAUAAUAAUAAAAAAAUAAGAUAAUUAACACCA